GUUCCUUCAGGCUUCCAGGUCAUGACUACAAGGUGCCUCUUCCCAAAUGCCAGCCCCCAUCUCAGCCCAUUCAACUCGGGUCGAGGGAAACCUCACCUCCUCUGCAGCCCCCGCCACAGCCACCAUCCCAGAAUCUGCGCGGAGGUCUCCAGCCUGAGGUCUGGAGCCACUGCUUAUUAAUAAAGCGCCUGCUUCCCCACCAGGCAGUGCAUUUCUCAAAGAUAAGACU
rnacentral:lncRNA from 10 species